CGGAGAGAUGCGGCGCAUCAUGGCGACAGGGGUGCUUAAGACGGCGCUGGCUGACCAUGGGCCACACACUCAGGGGCUGAAUGGAUUUGAAGUCUGACAACAUGUAGAGACAGCAACAGUACUGAAGAAGGCCCCAACAUAGCACUCAUACUGGAAAAUGGAGAAUCAGAACUGACCUUAGCCCAUGCGAUUAAUGUACUGGAACAUUGCACCCAUGCUGGGGGAUACAAAAUCAAAUGCAGCCCAGUACAAACUUGAAGACUAACAGAGGAAGCUGUAACUAAGAGGCAAGGAACCCAAAGGAAAGAUGCUUGGAGAAAAGAGGAAUGGAGUAAUGGAGGAUACAGGAGUUGAAGGAGAAGGUUGGAGGACUCAAGGAGAAAGGAAAACUCCAUAUCAGAGGGUUGAAUAAUGCUGGUUCAUGGUUCUCUCUCCCUCUCCCUCUCUCUCUCUCUUUGUGAGCAACAGAUGAUGAUUAUUAUUUUUCUAUCUCACAGGAGUAGCUCCAACAAGAAGGUACAUGAAUGCAUCACUUAUUGUACUUUGACCCUCUUCUGCAUAGAAUGAACAGGGACUCAAGAUGACCAAUGAUAAAGUGCACUAUAUAAUGUGUCCAUAUGUAAAAAAAAUAAAAAUACAAACAGCAGAAAGACCCACAAAUAUGUUUUGUUUAUUUGUAUCAUUGUUUACUACCUUUUAUAUAUGCUUCCGGGGUACA